CAUCACACAGUCAGGCUCUUAGACCUGGGUGUCAGCAGCCUUCAAAACCAGGUUACCUUGAGUUCAAAGGAUAUUUAUGUCCCUGGACUAUUUUCAAAGGAGUUUUUUCUCCUCUUGAAGAUCUACCAGCCAAACAGCAGCAGCUGGAAACUACUUCUGCAGAAGAACCUGGCAGGAGCUACAACUGAGGACAUUUCUUUACAGAAUACUGCAUGGAAUGAGACCUGCUCUUAUCAACAGACGUAUCCAUUGUAAACAGACCUCAGAGCCUAUAAAAAGAGCACCAUGCAAGAAAC